CGCCGCCGCCGCCGCCGCCGCCGCCGCCGCCGCCGCCGGAGCGGAGACUCACGUGUUUUCUCGGAGAAGAAGAACGAGGUCGCGCGGAGGGAGUAUUUAUCCUACGCCAAGUACCGCGAGAUCUCGGGUGCCCCGCCCCGAGCACGAGCCUAUAAGAGCGGUGGAGGGGCGCUCCCAGGCCUCCCGGCCGACCCCGCGUGCGCCUGCGCACAUCGGCUCUGCGCUCCUGCUGCCCGGUGCCGCCGCAGCCCGGCUGCCCGCGCUGCAGGACGCAGACGCCCCGGAGCGCGGCGGGAGGGGGCUCUACCCCGCACGCCCCGUGGAGCAGUCGACCCGAGUCGGCGCGGGAGUCCCCCGCCCGCCUGGAGCGCGUCCGUCGGUGCUGUGCCGCGGAGGACAGACCCUGAGGUCACGGCCUCCUGCNCCCCAGCUCCGCCAGCCGGGCUCCCGCGGGUCGGCCGGCCCAGGUCCCACACCGCACAGCUUCCACAGUAGCAGGCUUGUGGCUCAAGGACGCA
rnacentral:lncRNA from 1 species